UUCUUCGUGAUCAACUGCUUAAGAAACUUCUUGAUCGCUCUAUAACUGUCCACUUUCAUUGUAGUGGCCAACUUGUCAUGGAGCUACCUUCUCUAACUGCUGUCACUACUUUUGUCGUUCAACCAUCUUUAAUUGAAUUCCUUGAAUUGUGGAACGUGAUAGGACUACCCAAUAACUACUUCAUUAACUGCACUUUUGGGUAACUAUAACUUUUUAUGUUUGCUAAGAUGUUGGGCGACUUGAAUAUUUGGACAAGAGCAGAGUCACAACUUUGGGCUAUUGCAUGGCAAUUCAUUCGCUCAAAUCUUGGGUGACCUGCAACUUUGGGCGAUGGUAUUUCCGCGUUCAUGGGCUUCCUUAUUUGGGUCUUUAUCCUACAUUGCCUGACUGGGUAGUUCUUUGGGCUAUUUGAUUUUGGGGAUCUUCCAAUUGGGCUUCAUUCCUUGGGCUAUUCGAGUUGGGCUGAACUUUUUGUGUGUCAACAAGGAGUACUCAGGUAAGUCCCGAGAAAGGAAAGGGAAAAGGGCAGUCUUGCUUGAUGCGACGGCUGCUAGUUCGAGGGUAGAGCAGAGUAUUGAAGAUCUUCGUUCAAUAUAUAACUCGGGACUAGAUAAAAUUGAUGAAUUACUGUUGUUGAUGCAGAUUAAUAGAGCAAGUAGCGUAAUGGAGUAUUAGGACGGACGACGUGAGUGAGAGCCCAAACCAUAGUGACAAGGAUUAUGGAAGAGGCCAAACCAACCUACCAGCGAGGAAGUUCUCUUACAGGCAAUGGGAGAUCAUGUUUGAGUCGUAAGCCCUUACACUUAUAGUGUAGCCAAUUUGUAGCCCAUCCAAGUAUAGUGGUUGACUCUGCUUUGAUUAAGCCAUUGAAAGUUUUAUCCCUAGUGAAUAUGUUCAAGACUCGAAACCUUUGCACUUCAAUCCCAAUAGUUAUAGUUGUUGGAAUAGUAGUAUCUGUAGUUGUAGUUGUGUACCCCUUGUUUGUAACUAUAAUCUAUAGGAGCGCAAUCUUCUUCAAGGAUUGGAGGUCAAGGUCUAGGACUGAGCUUUUCUAGGGGUUUCCUUCUACCUCAUACAUUCUUAGAUUCUUUCUGCUUUCUCAGAGGUUGUACUUUGUCGUGCUAGGCUAGCCUCCAUUGAUGUAGCUUCCUUUUAAACACCAGCUAUUGAUUUAGUUUUAGUUGCUUUUCCUGACCCCCACGAAAUGU
rnacentral:lncRNA from 1 species